UACGUAGGGUGCAAGCGUUGUCCGGAAUUAUUGGGCGUAAAGAGCUCGUAGGCGGUUUGUCGCGUCUGCUGUGAAAACUCGGGGCUUAACCCCGGGCCUGCAGUGGGUACGGGCAGACUAGAGUGCGGUAGGGGAGACUGGAAUUCCUGGUGUAGCGGUGAAAUGCGCAGAUAUCAGGAGGAACACCGGUGGGGAAGGCGGGUCUCUGGGCCGUAACUGACGCUGAGGAGCGAAAGCGUGGGGAGCGAACAGG
rnacentral:rRNA from 1 species